rnacentral:tmRNA from 1 species
GGGGGCGAUCUGGCUUCGACGGGUUGAAGAAGUCGGACGUUGCGUGUCGAGGUCGUCACCAACCUCGUUAAACCGGUGCAAUUAUUGGUAAUUCAUAACUGCCGAUGAUAACUACGCUCUCGCUGCCUAACUAACCCUUAGGAACUAGCGACAUCCGUCCAUGACGUCCUCUAGUGGGUCGCGGAUGCAAUCAGAGGACUGGCUUCCGAGCGCUGCUCGGCCGUAUCCGGAAGCGAGAUCACGUCGAGCUAGGGUCUGCUGGGUCCGUCUCUGCACCGGGCAGCCCCGAAAUCAAGCGGAGACUACACACGUAGACGCGUUCGGGUGACGCAAUGCGGACGCGGGUUCGAUUCCCGCCGCCUCCACCA